AAAGAUCACGAUGCUGAAAUGACUCAGAACAGUGCCUGGAGUGGAAGAGCUGCUGGGAAAAUAAUAACUGCUAUUUCUACAUCAGUUAUGCCAGUUCUUUUUGACCUAAGAAACUCCAGCGCUUUUAAUACAAUCAAACUGGGUUAUUGGUGACUUACAGAGGAGACCCUAGGCAGGUGUGACAUUCUUAACCCUGUCUUUAAUACAACUGCCACAUCCCAGCGUUCCUUGACAGACUGUGGAGCACACCUAAGCCACCUUGCUUGCCAUAGGGUUUGGCUCCAUGACCUUGAUGUGAGUUCAUAGAUUUGUUUGCAGUUGUGAAAAUUAAAUGAGAGAGCGAGA
rnacentral:lncRNA from 10 species